rnacentral:rRNA from 1 species
CCUACGGGGUGCAGCAGUGGGGAAUAUUGCGCAAUGGGCGAAAGCCUGACGCAGCGACGCCGCGUGAGGGAUGAAGGUCUUCGGAUCGUAAACCUCUGUCAGCAGGGAAGAACGGUCACUGUGCUAAUCAGCAGUGAAUUGACGGUACCUGCAAAGGAAGCACCGGCUAACUCCGUGCCAGCAGCCGCGGUAAUACGGAGGGGGCGAGCGUUAAUCGGAAUUACUGGGCGUAAAGCGCUCGUAGGCGGUAUGUCAAGUCAAGGGUGAAAGCCCCGCGCUCAACGUGGGAACUGACUUUGAAACUGGCAAACUGGAGUGUGUGAGAGGAUAGUGGAAUUCCAGGUGUAGGAGUGAAAUCCGUAGAUAUCUGGAGGAACAUCAGGGGCGAAGGCGACUAUCUGGCACAUAACUGACGCUGAGGAGCGAAAGCGUGGGUAGCAAACAGGAUUAGAUACCCUUGUAGUC